GACGAACGCUGGCGGCGUGCUUAACACAUGCAAGUCGAACGAAGAGCGACGGAAGCUUGCUUCUAUCAAUCUUAGUGGCGAACGGGUGAGUAACGCGUAAUCAACCUGCCCUUCAGAGGGGGACAACAGUUGGAAACGACUGCUAAUACCGCAUACGAUCUAAUCUCGGCAUCGAGGAUGGAUGAAAGGUGGCCUCUACAUGUAAGCUAUCACUGAAGGAGGGGAUUGCGUCUGAUUAGCUAGUUGGAGGGGUAACGGCCCACCAAGGCGAUGAUCAGUAGCCGGUCUGAGAGGAUGAACGGCCACAUUGGGACUGAGACACGGCCCAGACUCCUACGGGAGGCAGCAGUGGGGAAUCUUCCGCAAUGGACGAAAGUCUGACGGAGCAACGCCGCGUGAGGGAUGACGGCCUUCGGGUUGUAAAGCCCUGUUAAUCGGGACGAAAGGCCUUCUUGCGAAUAGUGAGAAGGAUUGACGGUACCGGAAUAGAAAGCCACGGCUAACUACGUG
rnacentral:rRNA from 1 species